CCCGGGACCAUGGCGGUGCUUGCCGCUGGGGAUGGCGGCUUGCUCGGCCGGGCGACUAGUUCUGGCCUGGUCGGUCGGCGGCCGACAUCCUGUCUGGGGCGGCGUCCCACAGACGGUAAACGUACCUUCUGUGUGACGUCAACCCUCCAGAGGUCUUCAGCCUCCGUAGGGGCGACUGUAUCCACAUCACCUUCCUCCUGAAGACCCUGCUGAAAAUGGAGGAGUCGGUGCUGUUGCUACCCCCUUGGGGCCGCCUCUACCAUUGGCAGAGCCUGGACAUCCACCAGGUCCGGAUUCCCUGGUCUGACAUUUUUGAUCUCUCAAGUCUCAGCAGAAACAUCCCUGACACUGAGUACGAACAGUUCAUUGCAGGGUUCACUUGGUGAUAAUAAUAGUAACCAAAGCAACAGCAAACCCUUACAGAACUCUGUCCUGCUGUUCCAGGAACUCUGUGUUCACGACAACCCAAUGAGGUGGCACUUUACAGGAAGGACACUCAUUAAUCACACAGCUAGUAAAUGGCAGAGCUGGGACUUGAAACCAAGCUGUCUGGCCCCAGAGCCCCCUCUCAGGCCCUUCACUGCAGCUCAUCACUUGGGAUGCCCGACACAGGCCAGCAUUAAGGAGCAGCGUGACCUUGGCCAAGGUUGCUUCACCAAUUGGUCUCUGUUUCCUCAUCUGUAGAAUGGGGGUGUGGGCAGUGAACUCUGUGAGCUCAGUGGUCACUUCCUCCAGCUCUGCUAUUCUACUGCUUUGAGUUAAUUUAGUAAGUAUCCGAGCCUCUGCAUGGCCCACCCAUAGGCUGGCGUUUUGCUAGGCCCUGGGUUACGGAGAAAAGUAAGAUCAGCCUGCUUCUCCAAGGAGCCUGUGUCCCUCCACGGCAAACAGCUGUGAGGCCCAGGCUCCCUCACUGUCGGUCGGGGGCUGGGCAGGAAAAUCUGAUAGAAGAUGGAGACAGAGCCCCUCCGGGAACAGUGGUGGCCACACAGCUCUCAGGAGCGGGAGAGUCUGUCCUGGCUGCUGAGAGGGGAGUCCUCAUGAGGCCAGUAGGCCCCCCAACCUAAGCCCUCACCUCAGGACAAAGAUCCAGCCAUCCUCGCAGUGUCAUCAUAGAGCCAGUCCAUCCUCAUCAAUGUACCUCUGUGCUCCUUUGUCCUGGGGACUCUCUUCCCCCUACACCCAGAAGACUCUUCUCCCUCUCUUCUCUGAGUGUCCCCUCACUUCACCCGUGGUCCCUGCUUCCUGGGCAACCAUCUCUGGAGUUGACACUUUGCCCCCUCACACCCCCCGUUUGAUCAGGAGCUUGGUUUGGCCUCCUUGUGCUCACUUUCCCCCUUCAGAUGAUUGCUCCUCCUCUCUUGGGAGCACCUGGAAAACCCAGAUCCAUUCCUAGCAGUGCCUGCCACCCUGGACUCCCUGCUCAUCUGCCUUAGUCAGGAGCACCUGGACCACCAGCUCUGUAUUGCCUCACCUCCUACUAUCGAGACGUCAAAAUUCAUUCUCCCUCCACCAGCCAGUGUGGUCAUUGUAGGGUCUUCUUCUCCGUGAGCCUGAGCCAGCCAGCCCCCAUUCACCCUACCCCGGGCUCAUACGCAGACGUGUCUCCACCCCAGGUCCAGCCUCUCUCCUUUAAGUGCCCACCACUAGCCAUCCAGCUGCUUCUUCACCAACCUCCCUGGCCCUCCUUCACCCUCACUUGGGCAUCAAGCGCUGACUCCUCUGCUUUCCUGCCUGUCCACGUUCCUCUAAUUUCCACUUCCCCACCUUCCAGCUCUGCAUCCACAGUCAGCAAUCUCUUUAUGACAAACAAAACCCCCUUGACCCUUGAUCUUUUCUUUUCCUCAACAGGCCGACUUCCAUCUCGGUUCACCGAGCUCUACUUCUUCUGAGCCUGCAGGCAGCAGGCUCUCCCAGCACAGAUUUCUAAGACUGCAAAUCAAUGCCCACCAUGUUGCCACAGCCAGGCAAUCCUCCAGGAUUUCUCUAGUGAACACAUUUCCCCACUUAUCACUCAGUGGUGUCAACAUCCUCUGCUCUCUGCACACCUCUAACCUUCCCUCUGUCUCUUCCCUGACUCCCAGCAGAUGGCCUUGCUUCCUGCUUCGGAGAGAAUGACAUGUUACUGGAAAGGAACUUGCUCAUCUGCAGCAAAUCUGCUCACCUCGCCUUUUAUCUGUCCCUCUCCCACCUGGACUCUAGCUGUAAUUGUUCUUAAUUUAGUGAGUUUAGUUGACAUAUAUAUACACAGUUAAAAGCAUAGCACACUAUAGGCCACCUUCUAGGGCUUACUUUUUCAAUUUAACAUAGAGUGUAUGAUUCAUCCAUUUCGGUGCAUGUACCUGCAGUUCAUUUGCUUUAACUGGUCUUAAAUGAUGUGUGUGUGAAAGUAACACAAGGCAAGGGUAAGCCAGGAUUCAGGAUGCUGGGUACUUCCUGUGAGAAGAGGCCAAGGGCAGGAUAGGACAAAGUAUGUCACUGUCAAUAGUCCUGUUUUGAGGCUGGGUGAUAGGUUCACAACUGUUUCUUAUAAUAUUAAUUUUAAUACAUAAAUACCUCUGACAGGCACCUAAGGUGAGAAUGUGUCAUGAACCAAGACAUACAAUGGGUAAUAUUACAUCAUUAUUGUUAUGUAAUCUUGUUAUAAAAUAUAUUAAUCAUAAUCCUACAUUGUUAUGUGUUAUAUAUUAUAUAGAUGCAUGAAUUAUAUAUUAUGUAUAUAAAUACCUACAUAUGUAUUAUAUACUAUCUGAUAAUAAAUAAAUAACAUAAUAUGCUAGUGUAUCUACUAUUAUGUAUUAUUUAAUAAAUAAUAACAUACUAUAUCCUGUUAUAUGACAUGGCACAUAAUCUUUAAUCAAAUAAAAAUAUGUCAGUAUAUGUAAUGGUAAUUAAUAAAAUUAAAUAAAAAAGCCCGCAGCUUUUAACGCCAACACCGCUCCAGCUGUCACUGUCUUUUCUCUUCCUUUUCAUGGUCAAGGUCCUCACAGUGCUAUCCGUUCCCCCUUUCAUCUCCUUAUCCUGAACCUUCCUCCUCCUCCCAUCACAUGCUGC